UAGGGAACAUUGGACAAUGGGGGCAACCCUGAUCCAGCCAUGCCGCGUGAGUGAAGAAGGCCCUCGGGUUGUAAAGCUCUUUUGUCCGGAAAGAAAAGCUUCGGGUUAAUACCCCGGGGUUCUGACGGUACCGGAAGAAUAAGCACCGGCUAACUUCGUGCCAGCAGCCGCGGUAAUACGAAGGGUGCAAGCGUUACUCGGAAUUACUGGGCGUAAAGCGUGCGUAGGUGGUUGUUUAAGUCUGAUGUGAAAGCCCUGGGCUCAACCUGGGAAUGGCAUUGGAAACUGGGCAGCUAGAGUGCGGUAGAGGGUAGUGGAAUUCCCGGUGUAGCAGUGAAAUGCGUAGAGAUCGGGAGGAACAUCUGUGGCGAAGGCGACUGCCUGGACCAGCACUGACACUGAGGCACGAAAGCGUGGGGAGCAAACA
rnacentral:rRNA from 1 species